rnacentral:lncRNA from 1 species
CAACUCUGACAUAAGUUACCCAAAAGUCAGUGAUAGGGGGGACCAACUGUGAACAGGUUAUGCGUACAUGUGACUGUGUGUGUUAGAGAGACAGAGGGAGUCCACCAGUCAGCUCAGAGUGGUUCAUCUGUUUCUCCCUCCCUCUAUGCCUUUUGUUGCAGCCCCUCACUUUCCCCCUGCUAGCCUGGAUAGAGGGAGCUGACACUGUGCCUGCCUGCUCUGGACUGGAUAUGGCGUAGAGACACCCUGACACUACCCUGACUGGAUGUUCACCCUACGAGCUGAUGCAAUCACGGCGUCGGGACCUACCCUAGACAAAGACCAACGGGACAGCAUUUUUUCAAGAGUGGCAGGUAGGCCCCCUAA